rnacentral:rRNA from 1 species
GGACCCGCACAAGUAGUGGAGCAUGUGGUUUAAUUCGAAGAUACGCGCAGAACCUUACCAACACUUGACAUGUUCGUCGCGACUUUAAGAGAUUAAAGUUUUCGGUUCGGCCGGACGAAACACAGGUGCUGCAUGGCUGUCGUCAGCUCGUGUCGUGAGAUGUUGGUUAAGUCCCGCAACGAGCGCAACCCUUACUUUUAGUUGCCAUCAUUAAGUUGGGCACUCUGAAAGAACUGCCAGUGAUAAGCUGGAGGAAGGUGGGGAUGACGUCAAGUCCUCAUGGCCCUUACGUGUUGGGCUACACACGUGCUACAAUGGUAUUUACAAUAGGAAGCAAGACGGCAACGUUAAGCA